GUGACUUCUGCUGGAACUUGUCAGGAAUAGACUUGAAACUGAACUCUGCUUGUACGCGCUAUUUCUGGCAUGCCGCCAUGUUGAGGUUAGCUAAACAAUCCCGCAGGCUCGCACCAUUACUUCAAAGUUUGCUUACGGAAAAGCUGUCAGGUGGCAACGUCAGGGAGUUCGGAAUUUGGUAUUACAGGAGUACAUUAGUUUGAAGAACAAAGAAGGGAGACGGGGAAAUAUAACAUUUCACCAUGCGGCGCAAAGAAUAUUUGGGGGCUGUAAUGUUUGGAAGAUUGUUUGAAUCUCGACAGGAACUUUCUGGGAAUCGUUGUCAACUUUUCCUACCUGCACGGAGUCGGCGGCCAUCUUGCUUGUCGCCUUUGAAUCAAAUCCUACUGGGAGAGAGGAGGGGAGUUGGAACUCCGAAAACAAGUUUUCUUUUUGGACGUUUCCCAGCACGAACGUCGAUUUUCGGUCAUCUCGGAAUGAUGAUUCACGGCACAUCCUGUCCUGAGCACCUGUCCCCCUCCACCAUCCUCUGAGGACGCUCACCAUGGAGACAUGGAAACAGGAUGGAUGGUUGCACAAGAUCGCUGACAUGGAAGUGAAAGGAAGCCGCUGACCUGCAGGGACGGGGACCAAACGCCAGCUCGGCCAUCCCCGCGUGUGAGCAAUCCGGUGGCAUGCGCUGUCCUAUGUCCACAGCACGAUCUCACUCAGCGGACACUUGGACAUCUCGUCCUUGCGUCCUCCUUCAAACCUCUCUGUGUAUCCAUCUCCACCCAGAUGGCCGACUGCUGCAGUUUGGCCGUGGACUCCCUGGUGGGCGGUUUCUUCUCGCUGGUCUUCCUCAAGUGGGAUUUCUUCCCUGUGAUCACAAGAAAGAGCGGGACUCAAGGCUAGCCGUGAAGAUGACGCAUUCAGAGUAGUGCCCGCAGAAAAAGGGAAUCUGGAGCCAAAGCUUCUCAGGGGCGCAGUCGGAGCCGCCGGCCGAUACGCAUUCAUCAAAGGUCUGAAAGGUUGGCACAAAGUUGAAAUGAAUAAUUAUCAUUUUACAUACAUGACGAAGUGCCGGAGUGUCCUUGGACCUUUUUGUCUCCUUGUUUCCUGCGCCUCAAGCCGGGUCGGUAGUCAUCUCCGAAACGCAAAAAGUAAUAAUAGGAAACCAGCCUUUCGAUGGGGUCCCUGAUGACGUUUAUGUAGAUCGGCUUCACCUUCACCCCAAACCUGAAAAAAAAACUCACUUGGGUUAGAAAAAAAAAGUCAUUUAGAAAACGGAAAACGACAGUGAUGUUUUGACCUGCGCGUUUCAUUCAUUAGAAUUCUUUAUUGUUUAUUCAGUCAAUAUUUUACUUUUAUCAUUAUAUUACUAAAUUAGUUGCUAUUAAAAUUAAAUAUUUGACAAUUUUUUUACCUCAUUAAAUAAUUUGUGGUAAUUAGUAAUUACAAUUUUCAUUAAUUAUUUAUUUAGUUAUUAUUAUAUUACUAAAUUAGUUGCUAUUAAAACUAAAUAUUUUACAUUGGUUUUUAAAAUAAUUAGUUGACUGAUUUGUUAAAAAUACUAACACACAAAUAUUCAUAAAAUAAACAAUUUUACCCAUGUGCACGUCUCGAGCACUUAAUCACCACAAGGAGGAGUUAAAUGCACACGUUCUUACUUGGUGAAGUCCAGGAAGGAGACAUGGCCGUGGUAGAAAGCCGGCUUCAUUUCCCGCCAUUCAGUCACAUUCUUUACAAACCGGACCUGAACCGCGCAAAAACGAUUAUUAGUGUGUUAGAAUGCGGACAGCAAAUCAGAAUCAGAUCGAUUGUGACCUGGUCCUGUAUGGACAUGACGGGGUUGUUCUUUGUGGUGUUGAUGUGCAGGACAUGGUAACGGUUCCUCCCACACAGGUCGUAGGCGAUGUUGGUGAAGGAAGUGCUGGCCGUCUUCGGCACGCGGUUAUAAACGACGACCACCUCGUCGUCGCUCUCGGGAACGGACGGCCAUGACGAGUCCCGCUCCCGCAGGCCGUCUCGUGCGUGCCGCUGCUCGAUCUCCCGUACCUCGUGCCGGGCGAUGGCUCGCUCUGGAAGCAUGACAGGGAGUUUCAUAGAGUUGCUCAAAUUUAUACCAAACUGCUCGGCUUGCCGUGUAUUUCUAUGAAAAAAAAAUAGAAGGUAAAAAAAAAAUAGGGAAUGGAUACUGUAAUAAUAUAUUUAUGUUUAUUGGUGAGUUGGCAGAAUAUUUAGGGUGUUUUCCUCAGCUCUCUGCCCACAUGCUCCGUCUUUGUUUAUUCUGGCAAUCGGCGUGCUAAAUGUCUCACAGGCCUGUUAUUCGGCUAAAGCUAUUAUUUCCAGUCAGCUAUUGAGCGAUGUGGUAGUUUUAGUUUUAAAUUUGUUUAUACAAUGCAAAAAAAUCAAAUAAAAUUGUAGGUUACUGGAAACUGCCACAAAUUGCAAUUUUGGUCGGACUAACGCAUUCGACCGGUUUAGGAUAGCUCGACUUGAUUGACUGCACCAAGAUUUAUCUCGACAGAUAAAAAGGACGAAAAGCAGCGAGACGAGAGAGCCGGAGGUGACAGGCCGCGGGGGUGAGAGCUUUGACUGGAAGGUGACAGUUAUUUGAAAGCUAGCGGACGUGAGACGGGACAUCAAUUCACUCCAAAUGAGGAGGGCGGAAGGUUGGUGUGUGUAAACUGGACUUGUGUGAAUAGAUUGCGCACAAAAGCAGCCUCUCGCUUUUGUCGCCUGCGGGCUUUUCUUCAUCUGAAUUCACGGCGGACCGACUGCUGUUGACAACGCUCGGAGAAGCCGGCAGAAAGAUGGAGCCACGCUGCUCCCGGCGCACGCCUGGAAUUGCACCAGGUGGCCACAAAAUGGUGUCUGGCACGCAGCAACAAUCGUAACGGAGAUGUUUAUUCACACGGCCGGUAGCAGUCGCCACGGUCAGAUUUUACGGCCCCCGGGCUCCCGCGCGUCCUUUGCCGUAUUGGUUUUUGCGAGCAAAGCUGGCUGCGAUCUUCAAACGAACGGCGCUGCGACAAUGCCAGGCCGUAAAUAUUACAUGGCAGUCGAGCGGGCAGGCAUCUCGAAAGGCUUUUAAGCGGAAUAACACUCUGAUAGCACGUCGGCUUGACAUUCAUCAUCUUGUGGAGGAAUGUUUGCACGUUUGUCUGGCUGGUUAUGAAAGAAUUGAAGAAAGUCCUUUUUUUUUUUUUUCAUGGUAGGACAUUGUCACAUUCGAUAUUUUGUGGGUCCUUAAAGAUUGGACAAAGUGUUUUAAAAGAGCUUGCAAGGAAGAAAAAAAAAACAAUUAAAAAUAAAUGCUUUCCAUUUUGUAUUCAGAAAUUUGUAUCCAGCCUCAUUGUAUUAUUCCACAAGGGCAAUGCUCAAGUUCAUCAUUUGCAUACUGAAUAAGUCUUUCCUGUUUCCUUCUGACGGCUGGUCUUGAGUGACAAACGCAUAUUAACACUAACCUGGCCUUCUGGAAGGCUCCGGGGUGCUUCGAGGGCUCCUAGACUUUUCAGAAGAACAAUGACAAAACCUUG